rnacentral:lncRNA from 1 species
UCUUAUUGAGAUAAUUGUUAUGAAGAAAAAUAAAUAGAAGGAGAAGUUAGAGGGCAUUUUAGUUGUCUAUUGUCAUCUAACCAACUAGCCCAAGAUUUAUUUGCUUUAAACAAUGAUUUAUCAUUUUUCAUGAUUGUGUAGGUCAGAAACUUGGAAAGGGCUCAGCUGGAUGGUUCUUCUGCUAUAUGUGACAUCAACUGGGAUCAAGCACCUGACCUAUUCAGUCAGCACUGGACAAGACUGAAAGGUCUAAGAAGUCAUUUAUGUCUGCUUGAGAUCUCAGAAUCCCCUCUGUAUGUACUCAGUGUCUCUCUGUGUUGUCUCACCACUUGGUAAUUUAGCUUGCUCUUGCAUGGUAACUGGCAUCCCUACAGAAAACAUCCCUAAGGGCAAGCUGCCAGGCCUCCUAAAAGUCAGUCUUAUAUCUGACACACUGCUACCUUCUCUGCAUUUUACCAUCAGAGCAGGCCACAAGAUCAGCCCAGAUUCAAUGUUGGAAAAAUAGACUCACCUUCCAGUGGGCAGAACUGAUUGCAGCCAUUGUUGGAAACAAUCAACUGCAGAGAAUGAAGUGAGGAGUUGGACCGUGGCAAAGGUAGAAAGGGGCCAUUUCACACUCUAGACAGAGGGAGCCACUAGGACAAGGCCUUGAGAUGGGACACACUCAGUGUUGAGGAUUGAUUACAAAAAAAAAAAAAAAAAAAUCAAAGAGGUCAAAGAUAUAUGGUGACUGUGCUAAAGAGGAAGGAGCAAUAGGGUAAGUCACUACAAAUGGGAUCAGGGCCCUUCUAAGAGGCCUGAACAGCUGACAGAGACAGAGUGUCGGUGAGAUGAUCAGGAGCCUUGGAGUCAGGGUUAGGUCUUCAUAUUUUAUUCCAAAUGUGAUGAGAUGCUUUCUUAGGAGAGCAGCGUGAAAUAGCUCAUGUGUCAGAGGGAGCACUCUGGCUGUUCUGUGGAGAAUGGAUCAGAGGAAAGAACUGAAGGAAGGAGGGAGACCAGCGUGGGGCUCCUGCCAUCAUCCUGGUGAGAGGUGUUGGUGACUUAGAGAGAUGCAGCAAGUGGCCAGAUUCUGGGUUUGGGAUUUUGAAAUUACAGCUGGCAAGGCCUGCCAACAGAGUGGAUGGAAAUGGG